UGCCAGAACAUAUAAGCAUAAUAUGUUUUUCUAGAUACCGCCUGUGCGAAAAUUUUAGAUUCACGGGAAGCUGAGUUACAGUUACAUCGCCAUUUGCGCAUACAUACUUGUUCAUAUAUUACCGCAAUCUCUUGAUCCACACUACAGAGCUUCUGCAGAAGCCAGCAAUCUACGAUGUCUCCUGUAAAAUUUGCCCUCUUCCUAACUGUUGCAAUCACAGUCAUGGACACAAAUGCUUCAAGUCACAGCACCGGCCAGAACAGCGGCUACAAUAUAGGCAGUUGUCGUAUCAGACUUUGCACUGGUCCAAACGACAGCUCGUGCGGUGGUGGCCCAAACUGCCAGUGCAGAAAAUUUCAGACCGGCGCUAACGUCCAAUAUCGCUGCCAAAUUUAUCAACAAUGGCAGGGAGCAUAACGCUCCAUAUGAGACUUCGUUACAUAAAAAUUAUAGCAAUAAACAUUGCUA